rnacentral:rRNA from 1 species
AUUGAACGCUGGCGGCAGGCCUAACACAUGCAAGUCGAGCGGAGCGGCGGACGGGCGAGUAAUGACUAGGAAGCUGACUGGUAGUGGGGGAAGACGACCGGAUACGAGCGGUAAUACAGCAUGCUAGCAGACGACCCUAGGAGGGAUGAGCUAGUUGGUGGGGUAAAGGCCUACCAAGGCGACGAUCCGUAACUGGUCUGAGAGGAUGAUCAGUCACACUGGAACUGAGACACGGUCCAGACUCCUACGGGAGGCAGCAGUGGGGAAUAUUGGACAAUGGGCGAAAGCCUGAUCCAGCCAUGCCGCGUGUGUGAAGAAGGUCUUCGGAUUGUAAAGCACUUUAAGUUGGGAGGCGUUACCAACAGAAUAAGCACCGGCUAACUCCGUGCCAGCCGCCGCGGUAAUAC